AGUAUUCCUUUAACUUUUGCACGUAGCGCUUCCUCCGAAGAAUCUUAAAAUUAUUCUAAAUCGUAAAUAUAUACAUGUAGAUCGUAAAGUAGUAUUUAAAACAUUGAGUAUCCAAAUAAAAUCGUGUACGUGUUUAAACCCUCGAAAAUCAAUACUUUGAGAAAUAUCACUAAAAUCAGUCAAAUCGACUCAAUCUACUUGCAUAUAUUGGAAAUGAACGUGGAAGAAGAUCCUGAACCUGUAUGGCUGGAAACAGUUACUAUUGGCGGCUUUCGUGUUUGGCACAUAAUUGCGAUUUGUCUGGGAAUAUCAUUAAGUAUAUUAAUUAUGGUCUGCUGCUGUAUUCGAUUUCGAAUACCACGCACCAAACAGGAAAUAGAGGCGGACUAUCAGCGUAAACAAAUCACAAAGAAAUUUCGUGAAAAACUUCAGCAAAUCAAAAAUUCUGACAUGGACGAAAUGGACCUGCAAAAAGCACUACAUUCUAUUAAAUUGGAAGAGUUUGAAGUGCCAUAACAUCCCUACACAUUCUCUACAUCCGCCUGCAUGUCUUUGCUUUGUGCUUCUUUAUGUCGGUCCUUUCCAUACAUAUAUCAAGCGAUUUUGAACGAAAAUCCAUCGCGCAUAUUCAGGCGGAGUAUUUAUCAGCACAAAACAGCUGUGGCACCAGUGACACAGACAAUGCUACCAAAGACCCAUAUGGCAGUUUAAAAUUUAAGAGUAACAUACAAGUGCCUGCAUAAAUGAGCACUUAUAUACAUAUGAACAUACUUACUUCCUUCAUGGUUUAAAUUAAUUAUAUCAGAAAUAUAGUUAAAUAUCAAAAAGUACUGUUUUGAUUAUCAAUAUUGCAUUUGUUUUAUUAGUUUUGGAUUCUAUAUCAAAUUCUUUAAUCGACAGCGUUGCAUACUGACGAAGCUGUGUUAUUUCAUAUUUCACAUUAUCUAGUAUGUAUUUUCAAAUUUAAUUUUUGUUUAAUUAUUUAUUUCUUAUUCCGCUUUUAUACAGCGUCAUUACAUAACACGUUUACGCCGGUUUGGAACUUAAUUGUACAUAUUUAGUUUAAUUUCAUUAGGGCUUUUACCAAAUUAAUAAUCCUAUUAUGUCUCGAGGAAUUAUUUCUUGUAUUGUGGUGUUUUUAGUUGAUUAAUUUAACUUAAGAGUUUUUAAUAAUCUUAGCAUUUUGUGUUUUGUAUAUGCCGACAGAAUAUAUUCCCUGUCAUGUUUUAAAUCGCGCAAAAUUCAUUUAUAAUAUAAUUUUUUAAUUUCACGGCUUUGAAUACAACUUUUUUCAUAAAGUUAUAAUUAUUAUAUAAAUAUAAAACAACUAGACAUUUUCGGUAAAUCAUUCCUUGCGAAUAAAUGUUCUCCCCCUGUAAACAAAAAAUGUAAUAUGCUCAUUUAAAUGAAAUCCAACAACUGAGGCAUAAUAAAUACUUGAUUAAUUUUAUUGAAAAUUAACUUA